GGGACACGUGGUAUCCUGUCUGAAUAUGGGGGGACCAUCCUCCAAGGCUAAAUACUCCUGACUGACCGAUAGUGAACCAGUACCGUGAGGGAAAGGCGAAAAGAACCCCGGCGAGGGGAGUGAAAAAGAACCUGAAACCGUGUACGUACAAGCAGUGGGAGCACGCUUAGGCGUGUGACUGCGUACCUUUUGUAUAAUGGGUCAGCGACUUAUAUUCUGUAGCAAGGUUAACCGAAUAGGGGAGCCGAAGGGAAACCGAGUCUUAACUGGGCGUUAAGUUGCAGGGUAUAGACCCGAAACCCGGUGAUCUAGCCAUGGGCAGGUUGAAGGUUGGGUAACACUAACUGGAGGACCGAACCGACUAAUGUUGAAAAAUUAGCGGAUGACUUGUGGCUGGGGGUGAAAGGCCAAUCAAACCGGGAGAUAGCUGGUUCUCCCCGAAAGCUAUUUAGGUAGCGCCUCGUGAAUUCAUCUCCGGGGGUAGAGCACUGUUUCGGCAAGGGGGUCAUCCCGACUUACCAACCCGAUGCAAACUGCGAAUACCGGAGAAUGUUAUCACGGGAGACACACGGCGGGUGCUAACGUCCGUCGUGAAGAGGGAAACAACCCAGACCGCCAGCUAAGGUCCCAAAGUCAUGGUUAAGUGGGAAACGAUGUGGGAAGGCCCAGACAGCCAGGAUGUUGGCUUAGAAGCAGCCAUCAUUUAAAGAAAGCGUAAUAGCUCACUGGUCGAGUCGGCCUGCGCGGAAGAUGUAACGGGGCUAAACCAUGCACCGAAGCUGCGGCAGCGACGCUUAUGCGUUGUUGGGUAGGGGAGCGUUCUGUAAGCCUGUGAAGGUGUGCUGUGAGGCAUGCUGGAGGUAUCAGAAGUGCGAAUGCUGACAUAAGUAACGAUAAAGCGGGUGAAAAGCCCGCUCGCCGGAAGACCAAGGGUUCCUGUCCAACGUUAAUCGGGGCAGGGUGAGUCGACCCCUAAGGCGAGGCCGAAAGGCGUAGUCGAUGGGAAACAGGUUAAUAUUCCUGUACUUGGUGUUACUGCGAAGGGGGGACGGAGAAGGCUAUGUUGGCCGGGCGACGGUUGUCCCGGUUUAAGCGUGUAGGCUGGUUUUCCAGGCAAAUCCGGAAAAUCAAGGCUGAGGCGUGAUGACGAGGCACUACGGUGCUGAAGCAACAAAUGCCCUGCUUCCAGGAAAAGCCUCUAAGCAUCAGGUAACAUCAAAUCGUACCCCAAACCGACACAGGUGGUCAGGUAGAGAAUACCAAGGCGCUUGAGAGAACUCGGGUGAAGGAACUAGGCAAAAUGGUGCCGUAACUUCGGGAGAAGGCACGCUGAUAUGUAGGUGAAGUCCCUCGCGGAUGGAGCUGAAAUCAGUCGAAGAUACCAGCUGGCUGCAACUGUUUAUUAAAAACACAGCACUGUGCAAACACGAAAGUGGACGUAUACGGUGUGACGCCUGCCCGGUGCCGGAAGGUUAAUUGAUGGGGUCAGCGCAAGCGAAGCUCUUGAUCGAAGCCCCGGUAAACGGCGGCCGUAACUAUAACGGUCCUAAGGUAGCGAAAUUCCUUGUCGGGUAAGUUCCGACCUGCACGAAUGGCGUAAUGAUGGCCAGGCUGUCUCCACCCGAGACUCAGUGAAAUUGAACUCGCUGUGAAGAUGCAGUGUACCCGCGGCAAGACGGAAAGACCCCGUGAACCUUUACUAUAGCUUGACACUGAACAUUGAGCCUUGAUGUGUAGGAUAGGUGGGAGGCUUAGAAGUGUGGACGCCAGUCUGCAUGGAGCCGACCUUGAAAUACCACCCUUUAAUGUUUGAUGUUCUAACGUUGACCCGUAAUCCGGGUUGCGGACAGUGUCUGGUGGGUAGUUUGACUGGGGCGGUCUCCUCCUAAAGAGUAACGGAGGAGCACGAAGGUUGGCUAAUCCUGGUCGGACAUCAGGAGGUUAGUGCAAUGGCAUAAGCCAGCUUGACUGCGAGCGUGACGGCGCGAGCAGGUGCGAAAGCAGGUCAUAGUGAUCCGGUGGUUCUGAAUGGAAGGGCCAUCGCUCAACGGAUAAAAGGUACUCCGGGGAUAACAGGCUGAUACCGCCCAAGAGUUCAUAUCGACGGCGGUGUUUGGCACCUCGAUGUCGGCUCAUCACAUCCUGGGGCUGAAGUAGGUCCCAAGGGUAUGGCUGUUCGCCAUUUAAAGUGGUACGCGAGCUGGGUUUAGAACGUCGUGAGACAGUUCGGUCCCUAUCUGCCGUGGGCGCUGGAGAACUGAGGGGGGCUGCUCCUAGUACGAGAGGACCGGAGUGGACGCAUCACUGGUGUUCGGGUUGUCAUGCCAAUGGCACUGCCCGGUAGCUAAAUGCGGAAGAGAUAAGUGCUGAAAGCAUCUAAGCACGAAACUUGCCCCGAGAUGAGUUCUCCCUGACUCCUUGAGAGUCCUGAAGGAACGUUGAAGACGACGACGUUGAUAGGCCGGGUGUGUAAGCGCAGCGAUGCGUUGAGCUAACCGGUACUAAUGAACCGUGAGGCUUAACCUUACAACGCCGAAGCUGUU
rnacentral:rRNA from 1 species